rnacentral:rRNA from 1 species
UACGGUAGGUGCGAGCGUUGUCCGGAAUUAUUGGGCGUAAAGGGUGCGUAGGCGGCGCUGCAAGUGCCUUGUGAAAUCCCAUCGCUUAACGAUGGAACUGCUCGGUAGACUGCAGUGCUUGAGGUUGGUAGGGGCUGCCGGAACUCUAGGUGGAGCGGUGAAAUGCGUAGAUAUCUAGAGGAACGCCCAAGGCGAAGGCAGGCAGCUGGCCAAUUCUGACGCUGAGGCACGAAAGCGUGGGGAGCAAACGGG